rnacentral:rRNA from 1 species
UACGUAGGUCCCGAGCGUUGUCCGGAUUUAUUGGGCGUAAAGCGAGCGUAGGCGGUUUGAUAAGUCUGAAGUUAAAGGCUGUGGCUCAACCAUAGUUCGCUUUGGAAACUGUCAAACUUGAGUGCAGAAGGGGAGAGUGGAAUUCCAUGUGUAGCGGUGAAAUGCGUAGAUAUAUGGAGGAACACCGGUGGCGAAAGCGGCUCUCUGGUCUGUAACUGACGCUGAGGCUCGAAAGCGUGGGGAGCGAACAGG